rnacentral:rRNA from 1 species
UGGUAUAAGUGCAGUGCUUAACGCUGUGAUGCUAAAGAAACUGGUUGACUUGAGUGUGGUAGAGGCAAGUGGAAUUCCAUGUGUAGCGGUAAAAUGCGUAAAUAUAUGGAGGAACACCAGUGGCGAAGGCGGCUUGCUGGGCCAUAACUGACACUGAGGCACGAAAGCGUGGGGAUCAAACAGGAUUAGAUACCCUGGUAGUCCACGCUGUAAACGAUGAUUACUCGUUGUUGGCGAUACACAGUCAGCGACCAAGCGAAAGUGAUAAGUAAUCCACCUGGGGAGUACGAUCGCAAGGUUGAAACUCAAAGGAAUUGACGGGGGCCCGCACAAGCGGAGGAACAUGUGGUUUAAUUCGAUGAUACGCGAGGAACCUUACCUGGGCUUAAAUGUAGAGUGCAUUUUCGAGAAAUCGGGAUUCCCUUCGGGGCUUUCUACAAGGUGCUGCAUGGUUGUCGUCAGCUCGUGCCGUGAGGUGUCGGGUUAAGUCCCAUAACGAGCGCAACCCCUAUCGUUAGUUGCUAGCAGGUAAUGCUGAGGACUCUAGCGAAACUGCCGGUGUAAACCGAGAGGAAGGUGGGGAUGACGUCAAAUCAGCACGGCCCUUAUGUCCAGGGCUACACACGUGUUACAAUGGCCGGUACAAUGGGCAGCUACCUGGUGACAGGAUGCUAAUCUCCAAAGCCGGUCUCAGUUCGGAUCGGAGUCUGCAACUCGACUCCGUGAAGUUGGAUUCGCUAGUAAUCGUAUAUCAGCAAUGAUACGGUGAAUACGUUCCCGGGCCUUGUACACACCGCCCGUCAAGCCAUGGAAGCUGGGGGUACCUGAAGUCGGUGAUCCAUUCGUGGAAGCUGCCUAGGGUAAACUUAGUAACUGGGGCUAAGUCGUAACAAGGUAACC